CCUGCCACACCCCUGCACUGGACUAGGCACUGUGGAGGUAGGGAAAGGGGUGGGAAUUACAGAAGAAUUCUAGAAUAGCCCUCUCUGUCCUCAGUAUGGAAGAAAAAUAUUGUUCUUUUAGUAAGAGUCCUGGCUUUGAGUUUCAGCUCUGAUCCUUCCCACCUCAGUGGUUAUAAGGAACCCCUGAAGAUUCUUGAGCAUGUUAUGACCAAACCCGUGCUUCAGAAAGCAUUUGGCAACUGUAUGAAGAAUGGAUCAGAGGGAGAAGUCAGAAACAAGAAGAAGAGCUAAGGGGCUCUUCAGUACACCAAAUGAGAGUUCAGCCCACUACGGAAGACUCUCCCCGGGGAUGAUGCAGGGGAAAACAAACACAGGCACAUAGGACAAAUUGACCAGCUGAUUGGAGAGCCCUGACAUUACACCCUAUCUCUACCUGCUUCCCAGAGGACCCAGCUUCCUUCUAGUUUGCUGCUCCCAACAUUUGAUCCAGGAGGGAAUUGUCAGGAAUUCUAAGGCAAACAUGGAUCUAUUUUUUGGGAAGAAAAGACAUGGGCCUCAGUGACAGUGACAGAACUUCAAGGUUCUUCUGGCUGUGCAUCUGCUACCCUGGAGAGCUGGUGUGACAAGAAAGUUGACCUCUGAACAAGUGUAUCAGAGAAUUCCAUACCUAGCAAAGGGUCCUGUGGGAGAGAACUAGGAGAGAUGGAGUAGCAGGAAGACGGAGUAACAGGAACCCAGAUAACCUGGGUUCAAAUCUCAGCUCUGCCUCUUGCUCAUCUGUAUGACCUUGUUCAAGUCAC